rnacentral:misc_RNA from 1 species
UUGAGGAACUGAGACAUGGUUCUCCGGCUGCUGGUCAGAGUACUAGUAGUAGCAUGUGUAAUAGCAUUGCAGAUCACAAUAACAGCAGUGCGUAUGGAAGCGUUUGCAGUAGAAAUGAUGGAAAUGCUAUUUUGGUGGUAGGAUCUGAGAAGGCUAGGGUUCCAGAGAGCUUGAAUGAUGGAGGUCUCUUUCUUCAUGACAGAUUCAGAGGGAUGGAUUCUCAUCGUGCCAGCCAAAGAGAAGCAGCUCUGACAAAGUUCCGACUGAAGCGGAAAGAUCGAUGCUACGAGAAAAAGGUAUAAAAAUCAUCAGCAUCUCAUGUUAUGUAUGCAAAUGGAUGCACAGCCUUUAAUAUACA